GUAAAGGGGAAAUUCCUAUGGGCCUCACUAACUGAGCCCAAGACCUCAUCUCUGUUGACUUGUCCAAGUCAACAGAGUUUGAAACUCCAUUCAUCGCACGCUUUCACACUGUCCACCUCACUAUGCCUCCGUCGUGAAACACCGCGUCGGCGUCUGUCGCCGGUGCCUGUAGUGGCCUAACACUAAGAUAUUACCACCACCGGAUGCACCAUGAUAAGCUAAACACGAAUACGGGACUGGAUUUGGGAGAUGGUUCUCGGAUUGGUCGAAUCGAGCCUAAACAGUGGAAGAACCCUAGAUCUCUAAUCUUAAAUUAAAUGGAGUGCAUCACGAAUUAAUCUCUAAUACCAAAGGACUUUCACUCCCUAGCCUCAAAGCUACACUCCAAUAUGCUCAAUGUAAGAAAACGUUACAGAAGGUAGAUGGACUUACCGGAGAAGACGAUCAGAAACUUCAACAGGGUCUAUGUCGUGGAGCGUCGGUACCUGGAACUGCCUGAUUAUUGACGCGAUUUUCAUCCGUUCGUAGGUUGUGCUCCUGGUACGCACAUGAGCAACACGGUGUUUGUAUCCUAGCAACAUUGGUUAGGAAGUUGGCGUCCGCCGUAAUCCUGGAAGCAUCACAUACUUCACGCUUGUUAUUCGCAUAUGUUUUCUUGGUAAGAGUUCAGAUCUGAAGCAACUCAGGUGUAUACUCUCUUCUUGCCAACCAAAACAACUCCAUACUUGGAACAACUUCAUGUUGCAAUGCCGGGUGUGUUACUUGGGAGUUUGACGAGCUGCUUGGGUGCCUGCCGGAUGUCGAAUUGUCGCUGAAUAAUAGCUAGCAGCUGGUUUGAUGCCGAACUGCAGUAAAUUGGACAGAAGCUGGACUGGCCAAACUGGAGUAAGCUUUGAUGUAUGUGAUUUUUUGGAAAAUUGGUUGUUAGAAAAAAUUCUAAACUUAGUCAUCAAAAUGAAGUGCUAGAACUGUUAGCACACUGUGUUAGCUAGUAGAGAACAAAUGGAAACUAUGAACAUACUUGUAGUUAAUUUGAAGGUUAACUAUGGUUCAAUUGAAAUAGCUAAAUGAGAACUGAAUUGGUUGCUGCA